AUGGCAGCUGCAGAUGGCACAUCUCCACUCCUAAAGUGGCCACCUCAAGGAUGUCUUUAGCCGCCAGAGCCAAAGCAUGCUUGGCCUUCAGAUGGUUAAGGACUUCAUCGAGCCUGCUGGCAUACAGAGGGGAGCUCAUCGGGGUCGAGUACUUCUAAGAGCAGAAGGGCAGAGUGCUUGACGAUGUCAGCUUGGACCCUGAUGUUCUGGAUGAGGCUGCUGCCAUGGAUUCACUAGCGGAAGUGGACAAGGGCAUUGUGGAAGAUGUGCGUGACCCCGCUGUCUUUGAACCUGCCGCCACCCUGCCCUCCAGCACAGCGGCAGCAGCAGCCCGGUCAGGUGAUGCCCCUCAUGAGGCCCCUGGGGUUCAGGCUCCCUGACUCCCCAGAGUCUGAGGAAGAGGAGAUCUACGGCCAGGGUACCAGCACGUCUUUAAGCUGGUCGAGGCCCUGGUGGAAGCGAGGAACUUUCAGGGGCUUUCUGACAAGAGAAUAGACAGACUCAUCGCGCUCUGGCAGUGCCUGUCAGGGCAUGAAAAACAGCGGGUUGUCUACCCUCCCAAAUACCAGGAGAGGCAGCAAAGAGGAAGAGCACCCCCUGUCCCAGAAAGGAGAAUCUUCAACAGCAAAUAUCACUUCAGAUAUUGCAUUUUGCUCUAGUAAAUAUCCGCUGUAUACUGACUCACUGGCUUUAUACUGUGUACUGUCUUCGCCAUGACCAUUUUUCAGCUGCCUUCUUGGACAGACCUCUAGCCCUGCAACUUGGCCCAGCACCAGCCAGCUGGUUGAGGCCAUUUGCAGCAAGCUCUGCAU